rnacentral:rRNA from 2 species
CAACUCGUAACGGUGGAUGUCUAGGCUCCCACAUCGAUGAAGAACGCAGCAAACUGCGAAACGUAAUGCGAAUUGCAGAACUC